rnacentral:rRNA from 1 species
AUUGAACGCUGGCGGCAUGCCUUACACAUGCAAGUCGAACGGUAACAGGUCUUCGGAUGCUGACGAGUGGCGAACGGGUGAGUAAUACAUCGGAACGUGCCUAGUAGUGGGGGAUAACUACUCGAAAGAGUUGCUAAUACCGCAUGAGAUCUACGGAUGAAAGCAGGGGAUCGCAAGACCUUGUGCUACUAGAGCGGCCGAUGGCAGAUUAGGUAGUUGGUGGGAUAAAAGCUUACCAAGCCGACGGUCUGUAGCUGGUCUGAGAGGACGAUCAGCCACACUGGGACAGAGACACGGCCCAGACUCCUACGGGAGGCAGCAGUGGGGAAUUUUGGACAAUGGGCGCAAGCCUGAUCCAGCAAUGCCGCGUGCAGGAUGAAGGCCUUCGGGUUGUAAACUGCUUUUGUACGGAACGAAAAGCCCUGGGUUAAUACCCUGGGGUCAUGACGGUACCGUAAGAAUAAGCACCGGCUAACUACGUGCCAGCCGCCGCCGUAAUAC